UGGGGAAUAUUGCACAAUGGGCGCAAGCCUGAUGCAGCCAUGCCGCGUGUAUGAAGAAGGCCUUCGGGUUGUAAAGUACUUUCAGCGAGGAGGAAGGCGUUGUGGUUAAUAACCGCAGCGAUUGACGUUACUCGCAGAAGAAGCACCGGCUAACUCCGUGCCAGCAGCCGCGGUAAUACGGAGGGUGCAAGCGUUAAUCGGAAUUACUGGGCGUAAAGCGCACGCAGGCGGUCUGUCAAGUCGGAUGUGAAAUCCCCGGUCUCAACCUGGGAACUGCAUCCGAAACUGGCAGGCUAGAGUCUUGUAGAGGGGGGUAGAAUUCCAGGUGUAGCGGUGAAAUGCGUAGAGAUCUGGAGGAAUACCGGUGGCGAAGGCGGCCCCCUGGACAAAGACUGACGCUCAGGUGCGAAAGCGUGGGGAGCAAACA
rnacentral:rRNA from 1 species